UGGAAGUUACUCUGGAAAACGGGGAAGUUGGAAUCUUCGGAGGAGCUGCCAACGUGCAUUUACCUGAGUCACCUCAGCGGAGGGGAAGAGAGGGAGAGUUGCAGACACGUCCUCCUGAUUUCACAGGGCUGCAGAGCUGGCCAGAGUGGGCUGCUCCAUCUGUGUGAGGGCUGUUUAAACUUCACCGAAUGAAAGUGGAAGGAUGAAAAUUCGGAUGCCUCCAGAUUGAUCCCCAUCAUUUGGUGACACUGGGAUCCCACCCGGCUCGACCAGCAGGUGCUGAGCACGCUAUCCAGAGGUUGAUCCCUGCAACCAGACACUUCAAACCCAGCUUUUCAAAUGUGGCUGGAUCUUGCCUGGUGCAACCAUUGCUCGUGUAUCCCUGAAAAUGCUCCGUGUGUUGUGGCUUUUCUUUGGGAAGACCAAAAGGAGAGAUGGCAAAAUGACCUUUUCUGUGCCCACCUUCCAUCAGAGACUCAGGAGCUGCUGAUUCUUCUUCUGGGAAAGACCCAAUAGCUCAGUCCAAGAUGUUUAUACUGAAGAUUGUUUAACUUUGAGCAUGAAAUAUUAUUUAUUUAAUUGUCUUUUUUUUUCAUUUAUCGCUUCUCAGGUGCAAAGUUGUGGGAUCACAGGAGAUCUGGCAGCUCAACACCACCUGUUCAACCAGCAAAAGCUGGAGAGAAGGGCCCAAAAUGCUGAGAUGUGGCAGAUGUGGUGAAUGGGACCCUCCUACAAAAGACCUCCAAGUCAUUUUAAAGAUGAAACUUGGGUGCUGUUCCUGUGCUGGUUAAAAUGCUCUUCUGUAAGUGAUUUUAUGCUACAUAUAAAUAUUAUGGUUAUCAGUCUUCACAGUUAAAAUAAGGCUCUUUUCUUUGGCAGGAGGAAGGCUAUACAUGCAAAUUCACAGUCCUGAUGCAUUUCCACUGACUCUGCCCUUCUGUUCUGGCAGAAUUGGGAAAAACUCUAUUUUUUUGUGUCUUCUCUCAUCUGUUUCUUUAUGCUUCGUGUGUUCUUCGAUUCUCACUUCAUUCCUGCUUUCAUUAUCUUUCCCAUUCUUUCUUGUGGUUACAUUUGUGGCUGCAUUUUUGUCUUUUAUUUGUUCCCUUUGCCUUGAACUUUCUCCCAAAUCCUUCAGUUUUCCUCUUUCUACCCAGACCUGAAUACACACAUUGAAUUUUUCUCUCUUCCCAUUCCCACUUGUUUUCCUCUUUAUUCCAGUAUUUAUCUUUUCCCCUUUCCCCCACUAAUGUUACCAUUUUCCCUCAGCACUUGUUGAUAUUUUUGUUCCCCCUGAACUUUCCUGUCCUUUUCCUGGUAUUUUCUACCAGGAGAGACCCAACAGGGAUUUGACCCUCCAGGCUUUUUCUUAAUGGCUCAAAACUGGGCCAAAAUCCCUUAAAAAUAAAUGUCCUGAGUGACCUGUGGCAUGAGUGGGACUGGGAGAAAACAAACAACAAAAAAAUUCCUGUUUAGCAAAUUUAACUUCUCCUAAAAAUUCCGGCUCCAUCCUUCCAGCUGGAAAGCAGAGAUUAUAAUGGGUUGUUACAAGCUGUUAAAAUUUGAGAGGGGGAAUAGACUGAAAUUCUUCCACGGGUUGUUCUGUUCUUUGUGGGAGGCUGUUAAAAUAAAGCCACAGUAUAAAAGAUGAAUUAUAUACAACUUAAUGUAAAGCUGUUUGGAGCCAUUAUGAUAUUUCUUCCUUGAUUGUCGAGCAUUUGUGCACUUUUUCAAAGUUUCGCGUUUUUUGGGGGCUCUUUCGGAGCAUUAUGAAAAUUGUACUGAGAGGAGUAAAUUCAUCUGCAUAAAAUUGACUGCAAAGAGCAAUUAGUCCUUCAUUAAUAUGCAAAUUCGGUCCAGUGCAGAUUCAUCUAUAUAUGAGGCUUAAAUAUGCAAGUCAGUCUUGCUGUGCAGGAGCCCAGAUGCUUUUAUUUACUUUGAAAUUGAGGGAUUUGGUUAAUGAUGUUGUUGACAGGAAAACUUGAAUAAAUUUGAUGAUCACCAUCUUUCAUAUUAGACGAGGCCCGUGGAAAAAAAAUUACCAAGUAAAAUACCAAUUUUAUCUGGUAAUUUCCUAUUACCAAUCUGGUAAUAAAAUGCAGGAUCCGAGGUAAUGGAGGGAGAUUUCCUAAUGUUGUUAUCCCGAGACUUCGACUGCUCCCCAAAGAUGGAGCCAUUUUCCUUAAACUUUGUUUUUCCAGAGGGUAAAGACAUCUCCAUAAGCUGUGUGAAUAACGUGCUGCCUGGAGAUUUAAUAUUGGAAAGUUGGCUCUGUGGCUUGUUUCACUUGGGGAGGCUCUGGAAACCUGGGAAUGGAAAAGCAGGAGCUUUGGAAAUGGCUCUGCAGCGUCUUCCGUGAAUUAUCCGUGGAGUUUUCUCCAGGGCCGGUGUGAGGCCUUUGCUCUCAUCCUCUGGAAGUGUCUGAACACGUGGCCAGUUAUCUGUGGAUGCCCUAAGCUGGUUGAUAAACAUUUCCCUGCAUGCCUUUAAAUCUUUACAGCCCUCAGAAGUGGAAGUUUUUUUGCCUGUGAUCUCUCACCAUGGACCAGCUCAGAGAACAGGGAAUUUCCUCCCCGUUAUAUGGGAUGUUCCUCAUCCCUUUCCUCCUCUCCUGGCUCCUGCCCAGGGUGCUGGGGCUCCUCUGGCACAUCCAGGAUUCCCCUGCUUUUGUCCAGCACUGCCCCAGCUCCAUCACUGCCUCAGGCCUAAAUUGACCUUUGGCUUAAACAACCUGGCCUUUGACUUCAAUCAUGCCCACAUUUUCCUGGACUAAAUUUGGUCUUCAGUCUUGCCUGUGUGGGGCACUGACACUUCCAAACCAACAGAGAAAUGGAGUUUAAAUGGACUGAACUCUCCAGCGAUUUAUAAAGCUCCAGUUGGAACUACCCAAGGACAAGUUAAUAGAUUAGACCAUUUGAUUCCUCUGACUUCUUGGCACAGCUGGUUGGGAUAUAAAUCCUCCCAGCAGUGAACACUUAGUUUUCAAAUCCUUAAUGUGCUGGAGGAGGCAAACAGUUUACACAGCCAUGGGAAGGGAAGGAAAACUCGAUGGCACACUAGAAUUGAUGUGCCUGUUCACGUGGUCCUGGGGUGGUCCUGCAGGUGAAUCCACGAGCAGGGAAUUAGAGGUGGGAUUGAGGAUUUGGGGGGAGCAGGAGGGGCACCUGUGAGUCUUGUAAAGGAAUGUGCCCUUUUUGCCCUCAGAAGGAGGCACUGAGAGCUGUCAGAAGGCAGUUUGUUUGCAGCGCUUGAUGAGGUGACAAACUGAUGAAAAGGUGGAACUUUGGAAACACAACAUCUGCUCAGACUUCAACAGUCUUUGCCUUGGAGAACACAGAGUUGUUGGACAGUUGGUCAUGUUUUCCAGUGCCAGCCCCAGCAAUCUUGGCUUUCUGAUCCAGCUCCCAAAAGGCAGAAAAUAUUAAUUUUAAAAUCUAUAAACAGGCAUCUCAGCACAACCUGAGGUUGUCUCCUAUCAACUAUGUAAUCUUUGUAUUCUAGAUUAAUAAACACUUCAGCCUUGGAGUUUGUUAGUCCAAAAUAUAUUUAUUACCUCAUGAAUUCCAACCCCCUCCAGUUACCAUCUCAUUAAAGUGCAGUUGUGUGCCUGCAAUCUUUGGGGAUGUAUUAAUAAUGGAAUUAUCUCCUGGAACAGUAAUUACACACUCUGUGCAUCCUUUGCCACUCUCCUUGCAGUGUCUGUGGGAUGAGGGGGGCACAUUUUGAGCUCCUCCAAACUCUCUGGGUGUCCAAAGGAUAAGCAGGGUUGGUUUUCCCCCCUCUUAGGAAAAAGAGGGAGAAAAAUUCAUUCAUUUUUGUACUUGGGAAGGGGGAAGCGGCGAUGCCACUGGAGGAAGGGUUGUGAAACGUGGUUGUGCAAGUGAUUUCAGCUGCUGCUCUCUCCUCACUCUUUGAGGAGGUUGCUCACAGAGCAAAACCUCCCUGCAGGAUCUCUUUUGUAAAUCUGCCAAAAGGUGAAGACAACCACUUGAUCUGCAAGGGAAUAUUCAUUUGUGGGGCUUUGAAAAAAAAAAAAGGAAAAUAAUCUUAAACCUUUCCUCAGGAGAGAGAUUUACUUCCAGCUUUAUUCAGUGCUCAGUGUACCUGUUAUACUCUCAUUUCUGUGUGUGUUGGCUGUACCUGUGUCCUGCUUUAUCAAGGUUGUCCUCCCAGCUGCUACACUGGAUUGUUUAUGGGCACGAUUUCUUUUCCUCGUUUUUUUUUCCCCCCUUUUACUGCAGACUGAGGUGUUCUGAUCCUGCCUGGAGAGCCCUUCCCUGCGUGGAAAGAGGCCCAGGAUUUCCACAUUCCUUGCCUGGGUUUUGGAAUCUCUUCUCUCUAGUCCAAGUCCAUGUGUUGAGCAAGAGUGUGAGGGGUGAUGGCUGUUGACACAGGCUGUAACCUGAAGGUUUUUCUCUUUGGACUUCCAGGUGCUGUAUUCCACAGGUUUGUGUUUUCAGGAUCCAUCUGCUGGUGGAAUCCAUCCUGCUCUGUGGCUGCUGGGGUGUCCUGCCUUUGGGAUAACCUUUUUCACUGCAGUGAAAGGUUAGGGUUAGUUAGGGUUAGGGUAAGGAUUAGGGUUAAGGUUUUGGUUGGGUUAGGGUUAGAUUUAUGGUUAGGUUUAGGGUAAGGGUUAGGUUUGGAUUAGGGUUAGAGUUAUCUCAGUAAAAGUGGUGUCUGAUACCACCUGGGACACCACAGAGUGGAACAUUCCCAUUGUGUUAAAUAGAAAACAUCUGCAAAAGAUAAUGAGAUUCAUGACAUAUUGUUCAAACACCCAUUAUUAUUAUUAUUACUACUAUUAAUAUUAUUAUUAUGGCUUACUUGUUCAUCAAAACUUCUUGAUUUCAGAAGUUUCCCCAGCCCACCGAGGUGUCUGUGUGUGCCCAGAACAUCCCAGGCUGUGUCCUGCCUGUGCUGUCACACUCUUUUGUUUGUCACUGGGGUCUGAUUUGCCAACUUUCAAACCAGACACCUCUCUGAUGUGUUCUUCCUGAUGUGAAUGAAUUCACCACAGAAUACUCACAGAGGAAGAGAUGUUUGUUGUCAAGCAAUUAUUUCAGAUGAAACACAGGGAAGGGUGAUAUUACAGUCUGAGUUUUAUUUAGCCACAGGCAUGAAUCCGGAGAUGAAUUCUGGGAAUUUAGGGGAGGAAAAGCACAGCUUUUUCUUUUCUUAUUUUUUUUUCCUAUCCUGUCCUCUGUAUUUUGCAGGGCUUGCUUUGAGCCUGUGAGUUCUCAGCUCAUGAAGAACUCUCUGGCUGAAGGGAUGAGCACAUUAAAGCCUUUGCCCACUCGGAGCAAUUGCUCUGGAGACAAACCCAGCUCGGAAAACAAACCCUCUGAGCCACCUGUAAAUUCUGGCUCGCUGAACACAUGAAGAGCCAGAGAUACUUCUGAACCUGCAAGUGAAAUUUAUCCUGCAGGUGAUGGCUGAGCUCAUUAUCUGCUCCCCUCUGUAAAUGAGAAGUAAGGAGUGCAGUGCCCGAGUAUUCCGUGUGUAACAGCUGACGUGUUUGUGCAUCCCUGUGUUUGCCUAAGAAAUCGUGGAGAAUCAAUCUGAUGUGCAAAACACCCUGCAGGGGGGAGUUCUGAUCCACAGCACCUGCCAUGCCUGGGCUGUUCUGAGAGGCAGAAACUUCCAGGGAAGCAGCAGCCCUGGAAAUCUUCCUGAUUGUUCUCUCAGCAGGUUUUUUUUUCCCCCAAGGACACGUCUGGAGGUGGAUUCCAUAGUCAGGGUUGGGGUUUUUUCUACCCCUCGAGUGAGAGGUGCUGUGUGUGUCAGUUAUUUUCUCACUGGUUUUCUUGCUGUGUUAGAAAUCAGGGUUACUUCAUCAGGAUAUAUAGUUUUAAUAUAUGUAUUAUAUAUAUAUAUAUAUUUAAUGAUUAUAAUCCCAACUAGGAAAGCUAACCUGAAACAUUUACUUUUUCAGAUUUUUUUUAUUAUUAUUAUUUAAAUAUAUGUUUAAAAUAAUUAAAAAAAUAAUUCCCUACAUGUAUUACAAAUAACUUCCCAUGUUUUUACUGCUGGGAAGCAGAACAGGCAGGAACCAGCAGCACACAGGUGUGAUUGUAACAGGAAUUCUUGUUUAAUAAGUAAUAGAUUGGUUGUAAUGAGACUUAUGCUGUUCAUAAACUCUUAGAAUGUUUUUAACACCACCAAAGUAAGUAAGUUUAAAGUCUGAUUUAUUGAUCUUAACCCUCUCAGAUCACUUCUUGCCUUGCUUAUUUUCCAGGACAAACCCCAACAUCUGAGGGAAUUUCCCACAAAAUAGAAUAUUUACGGUCCUAGCAAAUUAAACAAAAAAUGGAAAUUUGCAUGGAUAAAAAGGAUGAGUGACAAUCCUCAGGGUGUGGGAAAACUGAGGUUAGAUUUAAUCCUAUAUUUACCAAUUCCUUUCUUGGAAACCCCUAUUUUUUCCAGGACCUCCACCUUCCAUCCCAAUAUUCCACCUCCUCGGUGUAUCCCUCCUCUGGAAAGAAACAGCUGGCUAUUCUGUGUCACGUUGUGCCCCCUCCACCUCUGUUGUUGUCAUUUUUAAUUGCUGGGGCUGUUGUUUUUUUGGGUUUUUUUUUUAAAGUCCCCUACAGAAGGUCUUUGUAGUGACAAGCGAAGGGUUCACGCUUGGUAAGCAAACAUAAAGAAUUCUGCUGCUAAUUGGAGGGGGAGCCAUGCAGUUAUGAUUCCAUCAACAUUUAAGUUACAUUGUUAAAGGACACGGGUUUUUUGUUGUUGUUGUUGUUGUUGUGUUUAUGUUGCCACAUGAAAUUUUCCUCGGGGUGAGUUUG